CCGCCUAUAUUAUUGUAAAUAAUACUGUCGUUCGUGGUUGUGUUAAUCUGGCCGCGUAUCGUCAAAUAUACGCGUAUAAAAGUCCUCUGUACAACUUUUAUUGAACCGUCGCUAUCCCAUUAAAGUUUUUCGUUCAUAAAACGGUAAUGAUUCAAGUAUAAUGGUUACAAUGUAUACGGUGGUUGCCGAAUACCAGCUUUAGUGUAUUUAUAAUCGGAUUAUUUUUGUUUUUGGCGGUCAACCGUGGAACAGCAGCCGCAGUCGUCAAUAAUAUCGUACAUAGCUUCGUUUACGUUUCCCUGACAAUAAUAUUGUAUUGGUACACUCGAUAAUAAUUGGUUCUAGCGUUGAUAUUUUAUUACAUUAAAACGAUUUCUGAUUUAGGUAUUUUUACAGACAUUAAAUGACGGAUGGAGUCACACGUUUGUUCACGAUGG